CNAACGCUGUGCGNCNUGCUUAACACAUGCAAGUCGAACGAUGAAGCCCUUCGGGGUGGAUUAGUGGCGAACGGGUGAGUAACACGUGGGCAAUCUGCCCUUCACUCUGGGACAAGCCCUGGAAACGGGGUCUAAUACCGGAUAACACCUGCCCGGGCAUCUGGGUGGGUUAAAAGCUCCGGCGGUGAAGGAUGAGCCCGCGGCCUAUCAGCUUGUUGGUGAGGUAGUGGCUCACCAAGGCGACGACGGGUAGCCGGCCUGAGAGGGCGACCGGCCACACUGGGACUGAGACACGGCCCAGACUCCUACGGGAGGCAGCAGUGGGGAAUAUUGCACAAUGGGCGAAAGCCUGAUGCAGCGACGCCGCGUGAGGGAUGACGGCCUUCGGGUUGUAAACCUCUUUCAGCAGGGAAGAAGCGAAAGUGACGGUACCUGCAGAAGAAGCGCCGGCUAACUACGUGCCAGCAGCCGCGGUAAUACGUAGGGCGCAAGCGUUGUCCGGAAUUAUUGGGCGUAAAGAGCUCGUAGGCGGCUUGUCACGUCGGGUGUGAAAGCCCGGGGCUUAACCCCGGGUCUGCAUUCGAUACGGGCUAGCUAGAGUGUGGUAGGGGAGAUCGGAAUUCCUGGUGUAGCGGUGAAAUGCGCAGAUAUCAGGAGGAACACCGGUGGCGAAGGCGGAUCUCUGGGCCAUUACUGACGCUGAGGAGCGAAAGCGUGGGGAGCGAACAGGAUUAGAUACCCUGGUAGUCCACGCCGUAAACGGUGGGAACUAGGUGUUGGCGACAUUCCACGUCGUCGGUGCCGCAGCUNACGCAUUAAGUUCCCCGCCUGGGGAGUNCNGNCGCAAGGCUNAAACUCAAAGGAAUUGACGGGGGCCCNCACAANCAACGGNACAUGNGGC
rnacentral:rRNA from 1 species